AGAUUGAACGCUGGCGGCAGGCCUAACACAUGCAAGUCGAGCGGUAGAGAGGUGCUUGCACCUCUUGAGAGCGGCGGACGGGUGAGUAAUGCCUAGGAAUCUGCCUAGGUGGUGGGGGAUAACGUUCGGAAACGGACGCUAAUACCGCAUACGUCCUACGGGAGAAAGCGGGGGACCUUCGGGCCUCGCGCCAUUAGAUGAGCCUAGGUCGGAUUAGCUAGUGGUAGAGUAUGGCUACACCAAGGCGACGAUACCGUAACUGGUCUGAGAGGAUAGAUCGAGUACACACGUAGGAACUGAGACGACGGUACCAGACCGUACCGUACGGGAGGCGAGCGAAGGUAGGGGAAAUAGUUUA
rnacentral:rRNA from 1 species